rnacentral:tRNA from 1 species
AUCCCGAUGGUGUAACGGAACGCACAAGACUUUCCUAAAGUCUUGGUCCUGGUUCGAUUCCAGGUCGGGAUAC